rnacentral:sRNA from 1 species
GCUGCGGUAACUCCCGAAGCCGGGUGUGGAAGCCCGAAAUCCAAGGCGCACAAGCGCCCACACUGCCGAUGCAGGCGCUUUUUUU